rnacentral:ncRNA from 1 species
GGAUGCCUUGACACUAGGAGUCGAUGAAGGACGGGACUAACGCCGAUAUGCUUCGGGGAGCUGUAAGUAAGCUUUGAUCCGAAGAUUUCCGAAUGGGGAAACCCACUAUACGUAAUGGUAUGGUAUCCUUACCUGAAUACAUAGGGUAUGGAAGACAGACCCAGGGAACUGAAACAUCUAAGUACCUGGAGGAAGAGAAAGCAAAUGCGAUUUCCUGAGUAGCGGCGAGCGAAACGGAAUCUAGCCCAAACCAAGAGGCUUGCCUCUUGGGGUUGUAGGACAUUCUAUACGGAGUUACAAAAGAACGAGGUAGACGAAGCAGCCUGGAAAGGCUCGUCACAGAAGG